GGAGAACCAGUCUAGUAUAGCUACAUUAGAGAGGAGGAGGAGGGAGAACCAGUCUAGUAUAGCUACAUUAGAGAGGAGGAGGAGGGAGUACCAGUCUAGUACAGCUACAUUAAAGAGGAGGAGGAGGGAGAACCAGUCUAUGAUAGAUAUAUUAGAGAGGAGGUGGACGGAGAACCAGUCUAGUAUAGCUACAUUAGAGAGGAGGAGGAAGGACCAUUCUAGUACAGCUACAUUAGAGAGGAGGAGGAGAGAGAACCAGUCUAGUACAGCUACAUUAGGGAGGAGGAGGGAGGACCAUUCUAGUACAGCUACAUUAGAGUGGAGGAGGAGAGAGAACCAGUCUAGUACAGCUACAUUAGGGUGGCGGAGGACGGAGAACCAGUCUAGUACAGCUCCGUUAAAGAGGAGGGAGAUCCAGUCUAGUAUAGCUACAUUAGAGAGGAGGAGGGAAAACCAGUCUAGUAAUGCUACAUUAAAGAGGAGGAGGAGGGAAAACCAGUCUAGUAUAAAUACAUUAGAGAGGAGGAGGAGGGAGAACCAGUCUAGUAUAAAUACAUUAGAGAGGAGGAGGAGGGAGAACCAGUCUAGUAUAAAUACAUUAGAGAGGUGGAGGAGGGAGAACCAGUCUAGUACAGCUCUAUUAAAGAGGAGGGAGAUCCAUUCUAGUAUAGCUACAUUAGAGAGGAGGAGGGAGAACCAGUCUAGUAAAGCUACAUUAAAGAGUAGGAGGAGGGAGAACCAGUCUAUGAUAGAUACAUUAGAGAGGAGGAGGAGGGAGAACCAGUCUAGUAUAGCUACAUUAGAGAGGAGGAGGAGGGAGAACCAGUCUAGUACAGCUACAUUAGAGAGGAGGAGGAGGGAGAACCAGUCAAGCAUGUAUACAUUAGAGAGGAGGAGGGAAAACCAGUCUAGUACAGCUACAUUAGAGAGGAGGAAGAGGGAGAACCAGUGGAGUAUAGGUACAUUAGAGAGGAGGGAGAACCAGUCUAGUAUAGUUACAUUAGAGAGGAGGAGGGAGAACCAGUCUAGUAUAGAUACAUUAGAGAGGAGGAGGAGGGAGACCAUUCUAGUAUAGAUACAUUAGAGAGGAGGAGGAGGGAGAACCAGUCUAGUAUAGCUACAUUAAAGAGGAUGAGGAGGGAGAACCAGUCUAUGAUAGAUACAUUAGAGAGGAGGAGGAGGGACAACCAGUCUAGUAUAGAUACAUUAUUGAGAAUAGGAGAAGGGAAAACCAGUAUAGUAUAGAUACAUUAGAGAGGAGGACGGAAAACCAGUCUAGUACAGCUACAUUAGAGAGGCGGGGGAGAGAGAACCUGUCUAGUACAGCUCCAUUAAAGAUGAGCGAGAUCCAGUCUAGUAUAGCUAUAUUAGAGAGGAGGAUGGAGAACCAGUCAUGUACAGCUACAUUAAAGAGGAGGAGGGAGAACCAGUCUAGUAUAGCUACAUUAGAGAGGAGGAGGAGGGAGAACCAGUCUAGUAUAGCUACAUUAGAGAGGAGGAGGGAGAACCAGUCUAGUACAGCUACAUUAAAGAGGAGGAGGGAGAACCAGUCUAGUAUAGAUACAUUAGAGAAGAGGAGGAGCGAGAACCAGUCUAGUAUAGCUACAUUAGAGAUGAGGAGGAGGGAGUACCAGUCUAGUAAAGCUACAUUAAAGAGGAGGAGGAGGGAGAACCGGUCUAGUAUAGAUACAUUAGAGAGGAG
ensembl:lncRNA